CCGGCCCUGAGAUUUAAGGGUAAUAGGCGGUUUUUUUCUUCUUCUUUUUUUCUGACACACAGGGUAAUAGGCGAUUUACUAAAUGAUUUUAACUAAAUUUUUUUUUCAUUUUACAAAUUUGGGGCCUAAUUUUUUUUUUUUAAGACUGUAAUUUUCUUCAAAAAUUUUUAUAGCCUACUACCAAUGUUUCAUUCAGCUUUGCUCAUGAGGGAUAUAGUAAAGAAACAUAAUCUGAGGAGUGUAGUGUACACGGACCCAUCCAAAUGCAAAGGGAAGGUUAUUUCCUGUACCCAAAGGAACGGUGGCAACAGGAGGAGGAUGUGAUAAUUUAAGGUCACAUACAACUCCAAGUAGCCACCCAGCAGUUCCAUCACCUCCUGCCACCUAUAAAGAUAGCAAUGCAAGCAAUUAUAAGCACAAAAUGGUGAAAGAGAGAGAGAGUGUUGUAAUUAUAUAAAACAACUCCUCCUCACAAUUAUUUUUAACUUGUCCCGAAUGUGACGAGCGAGAUCAUCUUCCUUUAGCCUCUCGAGGUUAAGAUAGAUUCUGCGGAGCACCUUGUCCGGGGUCUCUACCCCAAGAUCAAACACCUGCUUCUCAUUAAGAAGAGACUUAUAGGUGAGGAGGAGCUCCCCACCCAGCUGACCUCCGCUUUUAGAGUUGAUGAAGACAAGGACGGGACUCUCUGGUGGAGCGAUGGGCAGUGCCUGAGCCUCCGAUUCUGGAGAGAGGACGUAAGAAGGGAUGUAGAAGUGCUUUACAAAAUCUGAUAAACUCUCGUAGCUGUUAUCCAUGGAAGAAGAAAUGAAGGAGGAAUCGAGAUCAGGAAAAGUUAUGAUGAUGAUGAGUCGUAAUUCAAAAUGAUAUCCUUGUCUUGUCUUGUAUUGUAUUGUUUAUUAAUCAUAUUAUUAUUCUAAAAAGGGAUUUAUGGGAAUACUAGCGAGAUGGCUGCGGAGUAGUUGGCCUCUUUUUUUCUGACGCGGACUGAUUCUUGCGCCGCGUUAGUCGUCACUAUCCAUUUCCCUUUUUAUAAAUAUGACCCAGAUUCACUCAAAUGGGCCUGUAUAUUUUGGGCCCUCUAACUCAGGUAUUUCAUUCCCCUCUUUCGCGUGUCUCGAUUUGGUAAACCGUACGGACAAGUCAGUCGGUAUUUUUGGUUACAAAGGAUUUGAAUAGUACUAGGUGUUUUCUUCCUGACAUAGACAGAAAUAAUAAUAUAUUAUUCUUUUUAUUUUAAAAGAAAAUUUUCGUUUACACUGUGACAUUAUUAUUUUCUAUUUUAACUAUAUCGGUUUGAAAAAAAAAUCAUAAAUCUAAUUUUUGUAGUUUUAUUCCUUUUGAUUUGGUUUAACAGUUUCAUUUUGAUUUUAUUUAAAUUCUAGCAGAGUUAUGAUUACAUUUUAUAAAAUUAAAAUUUUAUUUAUCAUUAUAUUAUAUUUAGUGAUUAUUUAUUUUAAAUAUGUGCCAUCACAUAAUAAUAAUUUUAAAUAUACAAAUUCUAUUAUUUUUUUAAAAUUACAGUUGGACAUUAUUAUUUUUACCUAUUUCCGUCCUUCGUGGAACUUUAUAAAAUUGAAUCAGUUGUGGAAUUUUAUUGUCGUCUCCGUGUGCUUCGUGGAACUUUUACCACAAACCAUCAAUUUAUUUCUAACAGGAAAGAGAAGAAAACGAAUCCUAAAAGCUAGCUUCCUAAAUUUUGAUCUAUUUUUAAUUUCUUAUUUGAAAUGUUUUUAAUCCUUAGAUCCAAAACAGAAAUUUGUUGUUAAGAAUUCUGUUUCACUUUAAAACCAAAAAAAGACUUUUUCUAAUGCUUUUAACAAAAACCUUGCAAUACUUUUUGUAAAAGUUGUAUCAUCUUGAGAUCAGCUGGAUUUUAAAGGCAAAAAAGGUUUUAACUUGUGGGGCAAGAAAACAAGCGAACGUGGUCGUACCAUGGUUGCAGUGUUGGAAAGAGGACUAAGCGCUUCCAAAUCAUUCAAUAUUAAAAGAAUGUUUCAUUCAUUGUCUACAAGACAACAACAACCUCAAACCCUUGUCGUGGAGAACGGUGAUUCUCAUCUUGUCGAAUCCAAGACACCUGAAAGCCAAAACUCCGACUGCUUCACAGAAAGCCCCGUUGAAAGCAUGCCUCCCAUGAUUUCCCCUCUUACUCGGCCCGGAAAACGACCCGAGAGACAACAAGCAGGUUAAUCUUCUAAGAGUUUUUGGGCCCAAAGACAACGUCUCCCCCUAAUAUUUUUUUUUUCCAUGAGAGAAAUCUCUAGUAAUGAAAAAUUAUUGCAGAUACUGAGUUGAAGGACAGGUUUGCUAAAUUACUUCUUGGAGAAGAUAUGUCGGGUGGUGGAAAAGGCGUAUCUUCUGCUCUUGCUCUUUCCAACGCCAUCACAAAUCUUGCUGGUAACUAAAUAUUUUUCUUUUUAACUUUUCUCGUUUCAUCAAGAUUUUAAAUUUUAAAUUAUUCUGAUGAUGGUACGACCGUUCUCAGCGUCUAUAUUCGGGGAACAGACAAAGCUGCAACCGAUGCCACAAGAUAGACAAGCGAGGUGGAAGAAAGAAAUUGAAUGGUUGUUGUCUGUGACCGAUCAUAUCGUCGAGUUCGUUCCUUCUCAACAAACGAGCAAAGAUGGAGUCUGCACCGAGGUUCGAAUCUUCCCAAUGGACGUAUAUCACUUUAUACCUCUUUAGGUAGAUUUAUAAAUGUUUUUAGUUAUUUUAUGAAGAUUAUGGUGACAAGACAAAGAGGUGAUCUUCUCAUGAACAUCCCAGCCCUUCGAAAACUAGACGCCAUGCUAAUCGUAAGUGUUUCCAUUUGUAUAUUAAACCUCUCUAUUUUUAUUACCCCUCUAGUAUGAUGGAUAAAUGGUGAUGAAAACAUGUUCAGGAUACACUAGACAAUUUCAGAGGACACAACGAGUUUUAUUAUGUGUCGAGAGAUUCAGAAGAAGGGAAACAAGCAAGUAAUGCUAGGUCAAACGACAAAUGGUGGCUCCCUCCAGUGAAAGUUCCUCCCGGCGGUUUAUCUGAACCGGCUCGGAAAAUGCUUUACUUCCAAAAGGAUUCAGUCACACAGGUCCAAAAAGCUGCAAUGGCUAUUAAUGCUCAAGUCCUCUCUGAAAUGGCAAUACCUGAGAGCUACAUCGACUCUCUCCCAAAGGUAAACCAAUCACUGAUUGAAUAUUUCAUUUCUCCCUUUGUUAUUUAAUUUGUUAUAUUAUAUAUAUCGCAUUUAAGCUUUGAUUUUCUUUGUGUUGACAGAACGGGAGAUCAAGCCUUGGGGAUUCGAUCUACAAGAGCAUAACAGAGGAGUGGUUUGAUCCAGCGCAGUUCUUGUCGAUGCUGGACUUGUCGACAGAGCACAAAGUGUUGGAUUUGAAGAACAGGAUUGAGGCAUCUGUUGUUAUUUGGAAGAGGAAGCUUCACUUAAAGGACAACAAAUCUUCAUGGGGAUCAGCAGUUAGCUUGGGGAAAAGAGAAUUGUUUGAAGAGAGAGCAGAGACGAUCUUGAUCUUGCUCAAGCAGAAAUUUCCCGGUCUUCCUCAGUCUUCCCUUGACAUCUCUAAAAUUCAAUUUAACAAGGUAAAAUGCAAAGAAAUGUAUUGUAGAUGACUUGGAUGACAAGAAAUAACUCAUAAUUUAUUCGGUUAAUAAGAAACAAAAGAUAAUCCAAAAUAUUGAGUGGUUAAAUGAAUACAGGACGUUGGACAAGCGGUGUUGGAGAGUUACUCGAGGAUUCUUGAGAGCUUGGCUUACACGGUGAUGUCAAGGAUAGAAGAUGUUCUUUAUACAGAUUCUUUGGCACAAAAGCAAGCUUUAUUGGCUGAAGCAGACGCUGGGAGAACAAGUGAGACGGAUUCAGAGUCAGCGGGAUCUUCUCACUCGGGAGAAGAAACCGAGAAGCUUGACCCACACUACUCCAAAACCUUGUUGGAUUUCAUGGGUUGGAGCGACAAUAGUUCUAAAGGCGGCGAUAAACCUACCAAAUCCCCAUCUCUUACGCCAAAAAAACUCUCCUACUUGGAGAAGUUAGAGAAUUUUAACGGUUUUAGAAGCCCUAAAGAUAGACAUUAAUCAUGAAAAUCCAUGUGUCGUGGUAAAUUCACAAAAGACAUAAGAGUUUAGCUAGGGAAAAGGAAUGGAAAGAGAGUAGCAAAUGAAUUAUUCACACCCCCUUCCUUCCGGCUUUCUUCCUCGGAUAGGGAAUUCUUUAUCUUAAAAGGUUUAAAAUCUUUUUUAAAAAAAGAUAACUCUAUGUCAAUAGGACAUGUUGUUGUUUCAAAAUAUUUAAAAGAGUAAAUGAAUGAUAUAUCCAUAAUAAGAGAAAAAUGAGUCAGAAUUUAUCCUUCCUGGUAUGUAGAUUUUAUUUACCAUAUUUAGUUCAUCUGUUGAAGAGACACGGUGAAAUGCAUGUAGAGAAUGUGGUAACUCAAGAGGUGCAAGAGGAUCACAAGGGCCUUCUUUAGGAGUCUUCAUCCUCAUAACUAUGUGCCAACUUAAAGUAGACAAAAUGUAUUCACCAGUUAUUCCAGAAUUAUUUAAAAAAAAAGAAGAAGGAGAUAUGUAUAUACUUGUCAAUCUUCAUCUCUUUGGCCUUGAGCACUUGAUCCAAAAACAACUCCACUGAAGCUGUAUCAGUUCCUGGAUUUUUCUUUCCCUGAAGAGAGCAAGCAAAACAAGGAUUGAGAUUGAAACCCUUGUGAUAUAGUCAAGCCGGCCCUGAGAUUUAAGGGUAAUAGGCGGUUUUUUUCUUCUUCUUUUUUUCUGACACACAGGGUAAUAGGCGAUUUACUAAAUGAUUUUAACUAAAUUUUUUUUUCAUUUUACAAAUUUGGGGCCUAAUUUUUUUUUUUUAAGACUGUAAUUUUCUUCAAAAAUUUUUAUAGCCUACUACCAAUGUUUCAUUCAGCUUUGCUCAUGAGGGAUAUAGUAAAGAAACAUAAUCUGAGGAGUGUAGUGUACACGGACCCAUCCAAAUGCAAAGGGAAGGUUAUUUCCUGUACCCAAAGGAACGGUGGCAACAGGAGGAGGAUGUGAUAAUUUAAGGUCACAUACAACUCCAAGUAGCCACCCAGCAGUUCCAUCACCUCCUGCCACCUAUAAA
rnacentral:lncRNA from 1 species